rnacentral:rRNA from 1 species
GACGAACGCUGGCGGCGUGCUUAACACAUGCAAGUCGAACGGAAAGGCCCUGCUUGCAUGGUACUCGAGUUGCGAACGGGUGAGUAACACGUGGGUGAUCUGCCCUUCACUUCGUGAUAAGCCUGGGAAACUGGUUCUAAUACCUGAUAGGAGCCAUUUUUAGUGUUAUGUUUGUAAAGUUUUUUCGGUGUAGGAUGAGCUCGCGGCCUAUCAGCUUGUUGGUGGGGUAAUGGCCUACCAAGGCCGCGACGGGUAGCCGGCCUGAGAGGGUGGACGGCCAAAUGGGGACUGAGAUACGGACCAGACACCAACGGGAGGCAGCAGUGGGGAAUAGUGCACAAUGGGCGGAAGCCUGAUGCAGCGACGCAGCGUGGGGGAUGACGGCCUUCGGGUUGUAAACAACUUUCGCUAGGGACGAAGCUUUUGUGACGGUACCUAGAUAAGAAGCACCGGCUAACUACGUG